UUUUUGUGUCAGGACUAGCGGAUGAGAAGCGCAGGUUCGAGCCGAGCGCAGCGAGACAACAUCGGAGCCUGCGACGAUGGCCCGAAGGGGAAUAAUCCGCCCGUACUUUCUU
rnacentral:sRNA from 1 species